AGAAUCAACGCUGGCGGCGUGCCUAACACAUGCAAGUCGCACGAGAAAGGGACUUCGGUCCUGAGUACAGUGGCGCACGGGUGAGUAACACGUGAAUAAUCUACCUCCGAGUGGGGAAUAACUGAGAGAAAUCUUAGCUAAUACCGCAUAACACUUACGAGUCAAAGCAGCAAUGCGCUUGGAGAGGAGUUCGCGGCAGAUUAGUUAGUUGGCGGGGUAAUGGCCCACCAAGACAGUGAUCUGUA
rnacentral:rRNA from 1 species